rnacentral:rRNA from 1 species
GACGAGGGGUCCUAGCGUUGUUCGGAAUCACUGGGCGUAAAGCGUAUGUAGGCGGGCUUUUUAAGUCAGGUGUGAAAUCCCAUGGCUCAACCAUGGAAUUGCAUUUGAAACGUGGAAGUCUUGAGUGUGGGAGAGAUUGGUAAGAAUACCUGGUGUAGUGGUGAAAUACUAGAUAUCAGGUGGAAUACCGGUGGCGAAGGCGCAU